CGGGGUAGGAGUAACGCGUGAGGAACCUGCCUCAAAGAGGGGGACAACAGUUGGAAACGACUGCUAAUACCGCAUAAGCCCACGGCUCGGCAUCGAGCAGAGGGAAAAGGAGCAAUCCGCUUUGAGAUGGCCUCGCGUCCGAUUAGCUAGUUGGUGAGGUAACGGCCCACCAAGGCGACGAUCGGUAGCCGGACUGAGAGGUUGAACGGCCACAUUGGGACUGAGACACGGCCCAG
rnacentral:rRNA from 1 species